rnacentral:rRNA from 1 species
AGCAGCCGCGGUAAUUCCAGCUCCAAUAGCGUAUAUUAAAGUUGCUGCAGUUAAAAAAGCUCGUAGUUGAAUUUCGGGAUCGAUAUAUCGGUCGUGCCUCGGUACGUACUGGUAUUUUCGGUUUCUACCUUCUGACGAACCUUGAUGUCAUUAAUUUGGUGUCUUGGGGAAUCAGGACUGUUACUUUGAAAAAAUUAGAGUGUUUAAAGCAGGCUCACGCUUGAAUACAUUAGCAUGGAAUAAUGAAAUAGGACGUUUGAUUCUAUUUUGUUGGUUUCUAGGAUCGACGUAAUGAUUAAUAGGGAUAGUUGGGGGCAUUAGUAUUCAAUUGUCAGAGGUGAAAUUCUUGGAUUUAUUGAAGACUAACUACUGCGAAAGCAUUUGCCAAGGAUGUUUUCAUUAAUCAAGAACGAAAGUUAGGGGAUCGAAGACGAUCAGAUACCGUCGUAGUCUUAACCAUAAACUAUGCCGACUAGGGAUCGGAUGAUGUUUAAUUUUUAAUGUACUCUAUUCGGCGUCC